AUGAGUGGCGAACGGGUGAGUAACACGUGAGUAACUUGCCCUCUUCUUUGGGAUAACGCCCGGAAACGGGUGCUAAUACUGGAUAUUCACUGGCCUUCGCAUGGGGGUUGGUGGAAAGGUUUGUUCUGGUGGGGGAUGGGCUCGCGGCCUAUCAGCUUGUUGGUGGGGUGAUGGCCUACCAAGGCUUUGACGGGUAGCCGGCCUGAGAGGGUGACCGGUCACAUUGGGACUGAGAUACGGCCCAG
rnacentral:rRNA from 1 species